UCUCAUCUAGGAAGAAAAAAA
ensembl:piRNA 21ur-7429 ncRNA